UGUAUAUAUUCACAUAUAUACACAUGAAUAUAUACAUGUAUAUAUAUUGUUAUUGUACGUAUAUUCACACAAAUGUAUAUAUGAAUAUAUACAUAUAUACACACAAAUAUAUGUUUACAUAAAUGUACGUGUACAUAUACUUUCAGAUCAAAAUCCUCUGGAUGACACAACUAUGCACUUUGUAGUUUUUACCAAAGAUGUAAGGAAAGAUUAGGCAAAUUCAGAGUAUUUUUAUCGUAUUAAUAUUGAACAUUAUUAUCCUGAAAUUUAAAGUCUACUUAGAGAUUUGAUAUUCUUACUGUUUCUGACUGAACAGAAUUUGAGUGAUUGUAUCCUGUAAAUAUGAUCCCUGUAAGUCCCACUGCUUAACAAUUAAUAUGUUAAUGACUUGGAAAGUAUUAGGCACAAAUAUUAAAAUUCACCAAGUGAGAUACAUUUAUAUACAUUUCCUGAAAAUGUAAUCAUUGCUAAAACCUUGCCAAUUUCAGUUCCCAGUAUUUCCUUCUGCCUUUUAAAAUUCAAAUCCCAUUCUCCUCCAAACUCCUCACUUUAAAUGUUUAUUAACA
rnacentral:lncRNA from 1 species